rnacentral:rRNA from 1 species
UGCCAGACUCCUACGGGAGGCAGCAGUGGGGAAUAUUGCACAAUGGGGGGAACCCUGAUGCAGCAAUGCCGCGUGAAGGAUGAAGGUUUUCGGAUUGUAAACUUCUUUUGUACGGGACGAAGAAAGUGACGGUACCGUAAGAAUAAGCCACGGCUAACUACGUGCCAGCAGCCGCGGUAAUACGUAGGUGGCAAGCGUUAUCCGGAUUUACUGGGUGUAAAGGGAGCGCAGGCGGCACGCUAAGCCUGAUGUGAAAACCCGCGGCCCAACCGCGGGAGUGCAUUGGGAACUGGCGGGCUAGAGUACCGGAGGGGCAGGCGGAAUUCCUAGUGUAGCGGUGAAAUGCGUAGAUAUUAGGAGGAACACCAGUGGCGAAGGCGGCCUGCUGGACGGAGACUGACGCUGAGGCUCGAAAGCGUGGGGAGCAAACAGGAUUAGAUACCCCUGUAA